rnacentral:rRNA from 1 species
GGCACUGACUGCUAUCGGAUUAAUACUAAGCCAUGCGAGUCAUUGUAGUAAUACAAGGCAGACGGCUCAGUAACGCGUAGUCAACCUACCCUAUGGACGGGAAUAACCUCGGGAAACUGAGUAUAAUGCCCGAUAGAACAUUAUGCCUGGAAUGGUUUAUGUUCCAAAUGAUUUAUCGCCAUAGGAUGGGACUGCGGCCUAUCAGUUUGUUGGUGAGGUAAUGGCCCACCAAGACUAUUACAGGUACGGGCUCUGAGAGGAGUAGCCCGGAGAUGGGUACUGAGACACGGACCCAGGCCCUAUGGGGCGCAGCAGGCGAGAAAACUUUGCAAUGUGCGAAAGCACGAUAAGGUUAAUCCGAGUGGUUUCUGCUAAAGGAACCUUUUGUCAGUCCUAAAAACACUGAUGAAUAAGGGGUGGGCAAGUUCUGAUGUCAGCCGCCGCGGUAAAACCAGCACCUCAAGUGGUCAGGGAUGGUUAUUGGGCCUAAAGCAUCCGUAGCCGGCCCUGCUAGUUUUCGGUUAAAUCUGUACGCUUAACGUACAGGCUGCCGGGAAUACUGNCANAGCUAGGGGAGUGGGAGAGGUAGACGGUACCUCGGUAGGGAAGGGGAAAAUCCUUUGAUCUAUUGAUGACCCCCUGUGGCGAAAGCGGGUCUACCCAGAACAACGUCCCGACGGUUGAGGGAUG